rnacentral:rRNA from 1 species
UACAGAGGGGGCCAGCGUUAUUCGGAAUUACUGGGCGUAAAGGGCUCGUAGGCGGCCAACUAAGUCAGACGUGAAAUCCCUCGGCUUAACCGGGGAACUGCGUCUGAUACUGGAUGGCUUGAGUUUGGGAGAGGGAUGCGGAAUUCCAGGUGUAGCGGUGAAAUGCGUAGAUAUCUGGAGGAACACCGGUGGCGAAGGCGGCAUCCUGGACCAAUUCUGACGCUGAGGAGCGAAAGCCAGGGGAGCAAACGGG